GGAGAUAGCUCAGUGGUAGAGUGCCUGUCUAGCAUGCAGAAGGUCCUGGGUUCAAUCCACAGUACCUCCA
rnacentral:tRNA from 1 species